UUUUAGUUCAUUUAAAAUGUGGAAACUUAUUUUCUGUAUUAUUAUUGUGGUUUCUAUGCUUCAUAUUUCAAAAGCAAAUUUAUUUGAAAGUUUACUGAACUGGUUUGAUGAUGAUAAUUAUGAUUCUGAGAUGAAUAGUUCCGGAAGCGGAGAGAAGGAAAUAAAUGGAACUCUAGACGUGGAAGACGACUUUAAUGUUGUGUAUACGGAUGAGGGAGCCGGUGAUUACGAAGACGACAUAUAUAAUGAAAAACAAGAAUUUUAGAAUAAAUUUAUUGAAUCCUUCUUCAA